UCAGUUUCAAAACUGAAAGAAUUCGGUUUUUUGACUUCACCUUCUUUAUUUCUCAACUGUUACAACUUUCCUCCAUAAUAAAAAAAAGAAUGAAACAAUAGUCUUCCUUUCAUCCUCCUCCUAUUUAAUCUUUUCUUGUGAUGAAUGAAAAUUCUGGUGGCGAAGCUUCUAUUAAGGUAUAAUUAUCUACUUUCCUAAUCAAUGUUUUUUUUAUUGUACGUUGAGAUGAGAAUAUGUUCGUUUCUCAUUUGAUAUAACCCAUCGGUGCCUUUAAAAUAGAAAGAAAUUGUUGGAGGAGAGUAAGUGACUGUGGAAGCUCCGACGGAAAAACCCAUGGAUGGUUUGAAGCUUCAUGUUUGGUUGGUGUUAGAUUUUCAGGUUUUUCUAUUUAAGUUUCAAUCAUUUUUUUUUUAAUUUUUCUAUCACGGGACAUAUAUUUAUUUUUCUCGACUUUUGUCAUAGUCGUCGAAGGUAAUUAUGAGAGCAACAUGGUCCAAGGAACAAGAGGACUCGGUCUUUUCACAAGAACUGUGUGGAUGCAACUCGAUAUUCUUCAAGAGACGAUAGGAUACAGUUGGUACCAUUUGAUUUUUUUCUAUAAUAUUUGUAUCAAGAGACAAGAAGUUCUUGGUAUGAAGUUUGAACAGUUGUAAUAGGUAAAUUAUCCAUUGUCUUAGUUCAUAGAAGAAUCACGACAAUAUAUUUAUUACUAAAAAUAUGAAUUUUCUUUUACAAAAAUUAAGAAAUUAUAAAUUAGUCUUGUCACAAUUUACAAUU
rnacentral:lncRNA from 1 species